UUAUUUUUGGAGAAAAAAGUAUAUUGAUGAUGUGAGGUCGUGGAGGUAGCUUGGAGAUACCAUCAUUGUCCUAUUUCUUAAUCUGCAAAUUGAUUAUGCAGGUGUGUUUGCUUUGCACAAAUAAUUUAUUGAGCAAUACAUAUGUGUACAUUAUACCUAGAUAUAAUCUUGUUUUGUAGUCAACGUUUUGGCUUGGGGGCAACAUCUUUUUAAGAUCUAUUUGGUGCCAGGUAGAGAGAGGUUCAUAUGUAGAAUGUAAUUCUGAUUUCCUUUCUCGUGUUAUUUUUUUCUUUUCCUUUAGAAGUAGAAGCUUAUUUAUUUUUCUCUUCCAUUACCAGAAAUGUGGCGAGUCUACAAUAAAUGUUACCUUCUCUUCUCUGGAUUAAUGUAUCUUUGUGGAAAGCAUCUGGAUUCAUGCCUCUGGAUGUAUAUAAAAUGCCUAUGGAAAAUCAGCUGCUGUAAUAUACUUCGUGGAGGAGUACCAAUGAAUAAAACAGUUUCUUCUGUUCUUCUUAUAAACUCUUGUUACCCUAACUCCAUUGAUUCUCUGCUCAUGUACCUGGUGUAAAAUAUUUGAUGACCCUGAAACAGAUAUGGAACCACCACAUACGAAUCAUGAGUGCAGUGAUGACAACUAUGCCAAAGGAAUUCUCUAAAGAUGAUUCUCCUCAAUGUAACUGUCCAUCUACAGUUCUGCAUGAUCUGGAGAGAUCUGCCUACUGAAAUGAUU
rnacentral:lncRNA from 1 species